rnacentral:rRNA from 1 species
CCUACGGGCGGCAGCAGUGAGGAAUAUUGGUCAAUGGACGGAAGUCUGAACCAGCCAUGCCGCGUGCAGGAAGACGGCUCUAUGAGUUGUAAACUGCUUUUGUACAAGGGUAAACCUGAAUACGUGUAUUCAGCUGAAAGUACUGUACGAAUAAGGAUCGGCUAACUCCGUGCCAGCAGCCGCGGUAAUACGGAGGAUCCAAGCGUUAUCCGGAUUUAUUGGGUUUAAAGGGUGCGUAGGCGGAUUGAUAAGUUAGAGGUGAAAUGUCCGAGCUUAACUCGGGAACUGCCUCGAAUACUGUUGAUCUAGAGAGUAGAUGCGGUAGGCGGAAUGUAUGGUGUAGCGGGGAAAUGCUUAGAGAUCAUACAGAACACCGAUUGCGAAGGCAGCUUACCAAUCUAUAUCUGACGUUGAGGCACGAAAGCGUGGGGAGCAAACAGGAUUAGAUACCCUGGUAGUC